GAAUAAGACAUUUAAUAUGUACACAGGCACCAGCAAAUAAUCAAAUAGCAAUAAUAGGUAUAUUGUAUACACAACAUUUGGGCAUUAUUAGAUUGCUUCACAGAGCCAUACAUAAGGCCUGGCCUGUACAUGCUGAUUUGCAGACAAUAAUUGUCAGGCACUUUGGUCAGAAUGGUCUAAGGGUGGCUGAUCUGAUGCAGAUUUUCCAAACAAAUUCAACAUUCAUGCGUUCACACACUUUACAAUAUGCUACUUAUGCAAUUAAGGGGUCUCACAGCCAAGCUGGAGCCUAUCCCACAUUUACAUCACACCAAGGCCCAUUUUAGUGUUCAGUGAACCUGGCAUACACAUUUGUGGCAUGAGGGACAAGACGGAACAUACAACAACCUUCUUUGUGUGCGCGUCUGUGGAGGAACAGAAAAACUGCUGAAAGUGCAGGUGACAGAGAGCAAAUCUUAGUGUUAAAAAACGAGAAUCCUCUAUUAUUUGAACACAAAGGACUCACCCCCCCUUCGAGAAAAAAAAAAAAAAA